UACGUAGGGGUCGAGCGUUGUCCGGACUUACUGGGCGUAAAGCGUGGGUAGGUGGUCGGUGAUGUGCCGUGUGAAAGCCCCGCGUUCAUCGGGGGGAGGUCGCGGUAGACACAUUGACUUGAGGCAUACAGAGGGCCGUGGAAUUCCCGGUGUAGUGGUGAAAUGCGUAGAUAUCGGGAGGAACACCGGUGGCGAAGGCGGCAUCCUGGACCGGUAUUGACGCUGAGGCGCGAAAGCUAGGGGAGCAAACGGG
rnacentral:rRNA from 1 species